rnacentral:lncRNA from 1 species
GCUGGAUCCGAUGGAAGCGAGAGCCAUGGUGAGAGCUGCGGUCAAAGUGGUCUUCCCAUGGUCAACGUGUCCAAUCGUGCCGAUGUUCACAUGAGGCUUCUUCCUCUCGAACUUCCCGCGAGCGGCGCGGACGGUGAAGGAGCGGCGGGUGGAUUGGGAAGCGGCGGUGGUGGAGGAGAGGCUAGCCAAUGAGUAUGAAGGGAUGAAGGAGGAAGAGAGGUUUAGGGUUGUGAGCUUACCGGAGGUGGAAAUGGCGGAAACAGCGGCGGGGCAGAGGGAAGGAGAAGGAGAAGAGUAGGAAGAAAUGAGUCUAGAGGAGGAAGAACAAGCGGCUGGAGCCGAUAUCGCCAUGGAAGACGGAUUGGAGCAGAGGGAGAAAUCGAAACACUAGGGUUUGAAAUUUAGUGGAUUAUUUGGAGAAGAAGAAGAUUUGGGGAUAGAGUGAGA